rnacentral:lncRNA from 1 species
CAGCGAUCGGCGGCGGCUACUCCAGCAACUCCAACUACUUUGGUAAGUAGUGAUUUCUCUUUUUUUUUUUUUCUUAUUUCUUCUUCUUCUUUUUACUCCGGCCAUCAGAUGACUCAACUGUGAUUUUUGCAUACUGAUUUUCUUUCUUCUUCUUUUUCUCUUCUUAAUUCUUCCUCUAUUUUCUUCCUCUGUAACAGUGAUAAAAUGUCAUUGUAACAAUAAGCAUAAACAGUGUAUUAUGUAAAAAAAAAAAAUUAAUAUAACAUAAUAAUAUACUAAUUAAAUGACUUGAUCAUUUAAUUAGCUUAUUACUAUCUAGCUAUCUAUCUAUCUAUCUAUCUAUCUGUCUAUCUGUCUAUCUUCUAGACUUUUAGUAUCUAUCUAAUAUCUAUUUUUAAUUCUUGACUUGAAAUAUUUCCUGAUAUAUUAGUGCUAUUGAAAUUUUGAUCAUUUAUAUAUUAUUUUAAUUUUUUUAUAUUAAUUAUAGCCAUACUUUCAAAAGGUGAUCGCUUCGCCGCAUGGCGAGGUGGGACCUUAUCGCCUCUUUUCGCCUUUCAUCGUUCAAAACACUGAAGUGGACCGUACUCAUCCCUGUUGUGCGAUUUCAGUGCCGAUCCUAGUUCGACCACCACAUGUGACAGUUGAUUUGCGUGGAGAUUCAGAUUUUUGAGGUACUGAUUUGCUUUAGAGUUCGGGGC